rnacentral:lncRNA from 1 species
UCUUGUGGGGAUGCCUUGAAAAUGUCACUUACUGAAAAAACAGCAGCACCUGAAGCAGCUUGGCAUUUGCAUACUACAAAUGGCAUAUGUGAACCUCUGAUACUGCUGGUUUCUAAGAGAAGAAUUUUAAGUUUAUGUUGAGGUAGGACAGGCAUGGAGGUCUAAAGACACAUGGUGAAAUACAAAGUGCUUCUGAAAUCUGCUGGUGAAUGAAGGGUGGUGUGAACCACAGCCUGCAAGCU